rnacentral:rRNA from 1 species
GAGUUUGAUCUUGGCUCAGAACGAACGCUGGCGGCAGGCUUAACACAUGCAAGUCGAGCGCCCCGCAAGGGGAGCGGCAGACGGGUGAGUAACGCGUGGGAAUCUACCCAACUCUACGGAAUAACCCAGGGAAACUUGGACUAAUACCGUAUACGCCCUCCGGGGAAGAUUUAUCGGAGUUGGAUGAGCCCGCGUUGGAUUAGCUAGUUGGUGGGGUAAUGGCCUACCAAGGCGACGAUCCAUAGCUGGUCUGAGAGGAUGAUCAGCCACAUUGGGACUGAGACACGGCCCAAACUCCUACGGGAGGCAGCAGUGGGGAAUAUUGGACAAUGGGCGAAAGCCUGAUCCAGCCAUGCCGCGUGAGUGAUGAAGGCCCUAGGGUUGUAAAGCUCUUUCAACGGUGAAGAUAAUGACGGUAACCGUAGAAGAAGCCCCGGCUAACUUCGUGCCAGCCGCCG